rnacentral:lncRNA from 1 species
GUAACAAUUUUAAUAAAUUUUAUAGAAGCACUGUAUAAAAAUAGGCUGCUACCAUGGAAAACUAAGAUUUUUAAAAACCGAAAUGGUUACACUGAACGGAAUAAACAAAACAGUGGAUAGUAUUGUUAAAAAUAAUCUAGUCAUUAUAUGUCUUGUCAUGUUUGUUACGAUAUGUUUGGAUCACAUUUUCUUACAGAUAUAAUAAUAUAUAUGUCUUAAAAAUUCUCUAACUAUAUGUAAUAUGUGAUAACUUUAAGCCAAACUUCGCCCCUUCAAGAUUUGUCAAAUAUCUGAAGAUGCAUUUUACGACUGUGGUUUUCAAUGCAUCUUAAAAAAUAUCAUAGCGUUAUCAUAAAUAUAUUAUGAUCCUUGAAAUGAUGACUUUAUACCGCGAUUAAUUCCUACCAUAUAUUUGAUAGUAAUUGCUCACCUCCUACCCCGGAUAUGGUUUCGUGGUGAACGCUUUAAAACUACUUGUACGUUUUAGUUCUCUCAAAUUAAAUGCGUACUAUAUGAUAAUAAGGGGAUGUGGUAUGAUUGCCAAUGAGACAAUUACCCACCAAAGUUCAGAUGAAGUGGUAGUAAUCAAUUAGAAUGCAAGAGAUGAAGUUCUUGUAUACAAUUGAAGAAUUGGGUGUUGAGAAAUUUUCUUAUCGUACAGAGUUAUAUUUGCAUAAUGUCAAGGAUAUUUGUGAAACAUUAUUUGACACAAUAGUGCUUUCGACUUUCAAAUUUGUUUUUGAUGGAAAAUUUCGAUCGUUACUGAUGAGUCUUUUGAAGACGAAACGCAUGUCUGGCGUGCACAAUUUUAAGAAAACGAAAAAUGUAAAGGAAAAACACAUAUACUUAAACCCUUAUAUAUUCUGACAUGAACUAUAUGCACUAUAGAUUAAUUCGUUCUUUCAUAUGUAUGUGCAGG